AUUGAACGCUGGCGGCAUGCCUUACACAUGCAAGUCGAACGGCAGCACGGGAGCAAUCCUGGUGGCGAGUGGCGAACGGGUGAGUAAUAUAUCGGAACGUGCCCAGUCGUGGGGGAUAACGUAGCGAAAGCUACGCUAAUACCGCAUACGAUCUAUGGAUGAAAGCGGGGGAUCGCAAGACCUCGCGCGAUUGGAGCGGCCGAUAUCAGAUUAGGUAGUUGGUGAGGUAAAGGCUCACCAAGCCGACGAUCUGUAGCUGGUCUGAGAGGACGACCAGCCACACUGGGACUGAGACACGGCCCAGACUCCUACGGGAGGCAGCAGUGGGGAAUUUUUGGACAAUGGGCGGCAAGCCUGAUCCAGCAAU
rnacentral:rRNA from 1 species